AUAUAUUUGCACUUGUUUUGGUGGUUGAGCGGUGUCAAUGUGGGUGGAGGUCCUUGGUACGAAUCGUAGCAGCAGGGGUAUGAGUGAUUUUAUUUUGUUUGUUUCAGCUCUGCUGUUAAGAUGGUGGAGUUGGUGUGGAUUUUAAACCCUUAGAAAGUGGUAUGAGUGAUUUUAUUUUGUUUGUUUCAGCUCUGCUGUUAAGAUGGUAGAGUUGGUGUGGAUUUUAAACCCUUAGAAAGUGGUUAGUUAUGGGAUUUUAUUUUGUUUUAUCCUAUUUUAUUAUUUUUUAAUAAAUAAUUAAUUAGUGGUUAUUUUGUUAUUAUUUUUAAUUUUACUUUCUUUUCCCUAAAAUUUCCUCCGUACAUGUCACGUUCUUUUCUUUCUUUUUUUUUUGUUCCCUCUUCUCUCAACUUUCGCAGACUUAAUUUUCUUUUUUUUUGGUUCAAACGGCAAUUCUUGCCAUUUUCUUUGUUUUUGAUCAACGAGUGAGUUCUUGUGGCUAAUUAAUGGGCAAUUGGACUGAAUCGAGAAGAGCAAGAAGUGUUUAACUCUUUGGCGAGUUAGGAUUUUGGAAGCGUUGUUUGUUAAAAGGUUCUGGUUAUCUCGUGGGAGUGCUCGUAUCGAAUCUAAACCAAAUGUGUAAUGAAAAACCCAGAAAAUAGCGAACGACGAAAGCCAAAUGCAACUAUGUGCCAGGCUAUGUGUGACAAAUGGUAUAUGACAUAUAGUAACUAUUUUUAGGUUAGUAAAUGCAUUUGGCAGUUGAUUUGCAAUAUUUUGCAAAUGUAUUAUCUUUUGAAUUCUAGUUUACAUGGAUUUGUUCGAGGAUCUAAAUGAGGUGAUAAUGAUGCAUCCCAUAUAAUUUCCUUUACAAUAUGUUUUCUUUCUCCCCAAGUUG